rnacentral:piRNA from 1 species
CGUGGGCACUGGGAAUUCUGGUCCU